rnacentral:rRNA from 1 species
CCUUUUGUAUAAUGGGUCAGCGACUUAUAUUCUGUAGCAAGGUUAACCGAAUAGGGGAGCCGAAGGGAAACCGAGUCUUAACUGGGCGUUAAGUUGCAGGGUAUAGACCCGAAACCCGGUGAUCUAGCCAUGGGCAGGUUGAAGGUUGGGUAACACUAACUGGAGGACCGAACCGACUAAUGUUGAAAAAUUAGCGGAUGACUUGUGGCUGGGGGUGAAAGGCCAAUCAAACCGGGAGAUAGCUGGUUCUCCCCGAAAGCUAUUUAGGUAGCGCCUCGUGAAUUCAUCUCCGGGGGUAGAGCACUGUUUCGGCAAGGGGGUCAUCCCGACUUACCAACCCGAUGCAAACUGCGAAUAC